rnacentral:rRNA from 1 species
ACAUCCAGAGAAUUUAGCAGAGAUGCUUUAGUGCCUUCGGGAACUCUGAGACAGGUGCUGCAUGGCUGUCGUCAGCUCGUGUUGUGAAAUGUUGGGUUAAGUCCCGNAACGAGCGCAACCCUUAUCCUUUGUUGCCAGCACGUAAUGGUGGGAACUCAAAGGAGACUGCCGGUGAUAAACCGGAGGAAGGUGGGGAUGACGUCAAGUCAUCAUGGCCCUUACGAGUAGGGCUACACACGUGCUACAAUGGCGCAUACAAGGAGAAGCGACCUCGCGAGAGCAAGCGGACCUCAUAAAGUGCGUCGUAGUCCGGAUUGGAGUCUGCAACUCGACUCCAUGAAGUCGGAAUCGCUAGUAAUCGUAAAUCAGAAUGUUACGGUGAAUACGUUCCCGGGCCUUGUACACACCGCCCGUCACACCAUGGGAGUGGGUUGCAAAAGAAGUAGAUAGCUUAACCUUCGGGAGGGCGUUUACCACUUUGUGAUUCAUGACUGGGGUGAAGUCGUAACAAGGUAAGCGUAGUGCU